AACGAACGCUGGCGGCAGGCCUAACACAUGCAAGUCGAGCGCGCCCUUCGGGGUGAGCGGCGGACGGGUGAGUAACGCGUGGGAACGUGCCCUUUUCUACGGAAUAGCCUCGGGAAACUGAGAGUAAUACCGUAUACGCCCUUUGGGGGAAAGAUUUAUCGGAAAAGGAUCGGCCCGCGUUGGAUUAGGUAGUUGGUGGGGUAAUGGCCUACCAAGCCGACGAUCCAUAGCUGGUUUGAGAGGAUGAUCAGCCACACUGGGACUGAGACACGGCCCAGACUCCUACGGGAGGCAGCAGUGGGGAAUCUUAGACAAUGGGGGCAACCCUGAUCUAGCCAUGCCGCGUGAGUGAUGAAGGCCUUAGGGUUGUAAAGCUCUUUCAGCUGGGAAGAUAAUGACGGUACCAGCAGAAGAAGCCCCGGCUAACUCCGUGCCAGCAGCCGCGGUAAUACGGAGGGGGCUAGCGUUGUUCGGAAUUACUGGGCGUAAAGCGCACGUAGGCGGACCAGAAAGUUGGGGGUGAAAUCCCGGGGCUCAACCUCGGAACUGCCCUCAAAACUAUUGGUCUGGAGUUCGAGAGAGGUGAGUGGAAUUCCGAGUGUAGGGGUGAAAUUCGUAGAUAUUCGGAGGAACACCAGUGGCGAAGGCGGCUCACUGGCUCGAUACUGACGCUGAGGUGCGAAAGCGUGGGGAGCAAACAGG
rnacentral:rRNA from 1 species